rnacentral:rRNA from 1 species
UACGAAGGGGGCUAGCGUUGCUCGGAAUCACUGGGCGUAAAGCGCACGUAGGCGGAUUGCUAAGUCAGGGGUGAAAUCCUGGAGCUCAACUCCAGAACUGCCUUUGAUACUGAAGAUCUUGAGUUCGGGAGAGGUGAGUGGAACUGCGAGUGUAGAGGUGAAAUUCGUAGAUAUUCGCAAGAACACCAGUGGCGAAGGCGGCGCCCUGGCCCGAUACUGACGCUGAGGCCCGAAAGCGUGGGGAGCAAACAGG